rnacentral:rRNA from 1 species
UACGGAGGGUGCAAGCGUUAUCCGGAUUUACUGGGUUUAAAGGGUGCGUAGGUGGGUUUGUAAGUCAGUGGUGAAAUCUCCGGGCUUAACUCGGAAAUUGCCAUUGAUACUAUAGGUCUUGAAUCAUCUGGAGGUAAGCGGAAUAUGUCAUGUAGCGGUGAAAUGCUUAGAUAUGACAUAGAACACCAAUUGCGAAGGCAGCUUACUAAGUCGUGAUUGACGCUGAGGCACGAAAGCGUGGGGAGCAAACAGG